GGGGUUGUGGCUCAGUGGUAGAGUGCUUGCCUAGCACAUGUGAGGCACUGGGUUCAAUCCUCAGCACCACCU
rnacentral:tRNA from 1 species